UGAAUAAUAGAAAAUGCUGGC
rnacentral:piRNA from 1 species